UAUGAACGCUGGCGGCGUGCCUAAUACAUGCGAGUCGAGCGAAGCGGGGGCGGGUGAGUCACACGUGGAUAACCUCCUAUAAGACUGGGCUAACUUCGGGCACCCGGAGCUACAACGGAUACUUAUCGAUGGCUCUGCGGUGCAUUCGCUAGUUGGUAAGGUAACGGCUUACCAAGGCAACGAUGCAUAGCCGACCGUAGAGGGUGAUCGGCCAGUCGGGAACGGAGACACGGUCCAGACGCCGACGGGAGGCAGCAGUAGGGAAUUGUCCGCAAUGGGCGAAAGCCUGACGGAGCCACGCCGCGUGAGUGAUGAAGGUCUUCGGAUCGUAAAACUCUGUUAUUAGGGAAGCGGUACCUAAGCAGAAAGCCACGGCUAACUACGUGCCAGCAGCCGCGGUAAUUC
rnacentral:rRNA from 1 species